CUCAUAUUCUUCUUUUAUUUUUUCAGAUCUAACUAUUUUUUUCUGAUGAUGGUAUUUUCUAGGAUUGCUACAUGUCUAAUAUGGUUCACUGCGACAGAUUUAACAUCAGGCUUCAAAUCAAGAUUUCAAACUGAUUCAAGAGUCUUUUUCGCUGUACAACUUAACUGGCUUCAAAUCAAGAUUUCAAAGUCAUGCACGAGUCUUUUUCGCUUUACAACUUAACUGGUAAGUAAUUUGUAUCAAAAUACCUUUUUCUUUACCAAUUUAUCUGUAUUUUUCCACCUUUUACAAGCAAACCCUUCAUCUUCUUCAUUUUUCUACCUUAAACUCUAUUUGUGUCAUUUUUUUUCGUUAAUGGUAUUUUUUAAUAAUGCACUGUAUCACCAAAUCUCUUUAUUUUUACCCAAUUUUUGACUUUAUUCGGACAUUU